GUGUCAGCCGCCGCGGUAAUACGGAGGGUGCGAGCGUUGUCCGGAAUCAUUGGGCGUAAAGGGCGCGUAGGUGGCCCGGUCAGUUCGUGGUGAAAGCGCGGGGCUCAACCCUGCGUCGGCCAUGAAUACUGCCGCGGCUGGAGCACUGUAGAGGCAGGCGGAAUUCCGGGUGUAGCGGUGGAAUGCGUAGAGAUCCGGAAGAACACCGGUGGCGAAGGCGGCCUGCUGGGCAGUUGCUGACACUGAGGCGCGACAGCGUGGGGAGCAAACAGGAUUAGAAACCCCCGUAGUCC
rnacentral:rRNA from 1 species